ensembl:rRNA 5S_rRNA 5S ribosomal RNA
GCUUACGCCAUACCACUCUGAAAAAGCCUGAUCUCAUCUGAACUCGGAAGCAAGCAGAGUUGGGGCCUGGUUAGUACUCGGUUGGGAGACUGAAUGGGAAUACUAGGUGCUGUAAGCU